rnacentral:lncRNA from 1 species
UUAAUAUCUCUUGAUUCCGAACUCCAAAUAUAGCAAAUAAUAUAUGCAUUUCGAUCAGCUCGACGAGAUCUUUGCAAUGGUGUACUCCAUUCUAUGAUUGGUGGAAACACCUGGGCGGGCGCCCAAGGGGGGAGGGCGGGCGCCCUGCCCCCGGGCCCGGUCGGCCUCUCGUUCGUUCCUGUGGCUUCUGGACUCUUCUAGAUGAUAGAAAAUUGCGCGGCACGUUAAUAUCUCUAUGUAAACCCGACGUGUGGGCCUUUCCUCCAUAUUUCCUGAUAACCCCCUGCAGAAAUAGACAAACACCAAAACUCGUAGAAUUCUAUUAGAUAAAACCCUAAGUCUGGGUG